ACACCGGCAGCUCUAGUGGUAGCAAUUUUUAUUGGGCCUAAAGCGUCCGUAGCCGGUUUAAUAAGUCUCUGGUGAAAUCCUGCAGCUUAACUGUGGGAAUUGCUGGAGAUACUAUUAGACUUGAGACCGGGAGAGGUUGGAGGUACUCCCAGGGUAGAGGUGAAAUUCUGUAAUCCUGGGAGGACCGCCUGUUGCGAAGGCGUCUAACUGGAACGGUUCUGACGGUGAGGGACGAAAGUUAGGGGCGCGAACCGGAUUGGAUACCCGGGGAGUCCUAACUGUAAACGAUGCGGACUUGGUGUUGGGGUGGCUUUGAGCUGUCCCAGUGCCGAAGGGAAGCUGUUAAGUCCGCCGCCUGGGAAGUACGGUCGCAAGACUGAAACUCAAAUGAAUUGACGGGG
rnacentral:rRNA from 1 species